rnacentral:rRNA from 1 species
AUGGUUAAAAUAGAUCUUGCUAAGGCAUUUGAUAGGAUAGAGUGGGAUUUCAUUGUUAAAGCGUUAACUCGCAAAGGGAUGCAAGCUCACUUUAUAAGUUUAAUUUAUGCUUUCAUGGCUAUCCCCACUUUCUCAGACAUCAUCAAUGGUCAAUCAUAUGGACGCUUUCAGAGUAGCAGAGGUAUUAGGCAAGGAUGUCCUUUGUCCCCGGCCAUCAAUGAGUUGGCAAUCUCUCUAUAGGAAGCCAUGUGUGCUGACCAGUUAUGAGGAAUAACUUUAGGACCAGGGUGUCCUCCUAUUCACUCCUUAAUAUUUGAUGAUGAUUUACUGAUUUGUGGACAGGCUACAGCUGCAGAAGCUAUGCAUAUGCAUCAAAUCCUUCAAAGGUUUUGCAACCUUUCAGGUCAAAUGCCAAACUGGAGUAAGUCGGCUAUUAUUUUUAGCAAAAAUGUCGAUGAGAUCAAUAAGGAGGAUAUUAAGAGAAUCUUACCAGUGCGGGAUAUUAUUAACAAUUCUACCUAUUUAGGGCACCCCUUAAUUCUCCUUGACAAGGAUAGAUCUAGUGCUUAUAACUUUGUUGUCGAUAAAUUCAAAGUUAAAUUGACUGGUUAUAAGGCUAAUAAGCUUUCACAUGCAGCUAGAUUAACUCUAAUCAAUUCAGGUUUUGCUUCCAUCCCUGUGUAG